rnacentral:rRNA from 1 species
UACGGGGGGAGCAAGCGUUGUUCGGAUUUACUGGGCGUAAAGGGCGCGUAGGCGGCCACCGCAAGUCGAUUGUGAAAUCUCCGGGCUUAACCCGGAAAGGUCAACCGAUACUGCAGGGCUAGAGUGCAGAAGGGGCAACUGGAAUUCUCGGUGUAGCGGUGAAAUGCGUAGAUAUCGAGAGGAACACCUGCGGCGAAGGCGGGUUGCUGGGCUGACACUGACGCUGAGGCGCGAAAGCUAGGGGAGCGAACGGG